rnacentral:rRNA from 1 species
CGCUGGCGGCAUGGCUAAAACAUGCAAGUCGAACGACAUAGUGGCGAAAGGGCGAGUAACGCGAUCGAACAUACCCCGAGGUGGGGGAUAGCCUUUGGAAACGAAGGGUAAUACCCCAUGUCCUCUACGGAGAAAAGCUCCGGCGCCUUGGGAGUGGCGAUCGUCCUAUCAGGUAGUUGGUGAGGUAACGGCUCACCAAGCCGAAGACGGGUAGCGGGUGUGAGAGCAUGACCCGCCGCAUCGGGACUGAGACACUGCCCGGACUCCUACGGGAGGCUGCAGUAACGAAUCUUCCGCAAUGGGCGCAAGCCUGACGGAGCAAUGCCGCGUGCGGGAUGAAGCUUCUACGAAGUGUAAACCGCUGUCAGGGUCUCGUACCAACGAACAGACCCAGAGGAAGGACCGGCUAAUUCCGUGCCAGCAGCCGCGGUAAUACGGAAGGUCCAAGCGUUAAUCGGAAUCACUGGGCUUAAAGCGUGCGCAGGCGGACCGGCAGGCAUCCUGUGAAAUCCCACGGCUCAACCGUGGAACUGCAGGGUGAACCGCCGGUCUCGAGGCAGGUAGGGGUGAGUGGAACUAUGGGUGGAGCGGUGAAAUGCGUAGAUAUCCAUGGGAACGCCAAUGGCGAAGGCAACUCACUGGGCCUGUCCUGCGCUCAGGCACGAAAGCCUGGGGAGCGAACGGGAUUA